GGUGCGACGUAUCAGAUAGUUGGUGAGGUAACGGCUCACCAAGUCAUUGACGCGUAGCUGUACUGAGAGGUAGAACAGCCACAAUGGGACUGAGACACGGCCCAUACUCCUACGGGAGGCAGCAGUAGGGAAUUUUUCACAAUGGGCGAAAGCCUUAUGAAGCAAUGCCGCGUGAACGAUGAAGGUCUAUAAGAUUGUAAAGUUCUUUUAUUUGGGAAGAACCACUAAAAUAGGAAAUGAUUUUAGUUUGACUGUACCAUUUGAAUAAGUAUCGGCUAACUAUGUGCCAGCAGCCGCGGUAAUACAUAGGAUGCAAGCGUUAUCCGGAUUUACUGGGCGUAAAACGAGCGCAGGCGGAUUUGUAAGUUUGGUAUGAAAUCUAGAUGCUUAACGUCUAGCUGUAUCAAAAACUACGAAUCUAGAGUGUAGCAGAGAGUUGGGGAACUCCAUGUGGAGCGGUAAAAUGCGUAGAUAUAUGGAAGAACACCGGUGGCGAAGGCGCCAACUUGGACUAUUACUGACGCUUAGGCUCGAAAGUGUGGGGAGCAAAUAGGAUUAGAUACCCUAGUAGUCCACACCGUAAACGAUCAUCAUUAAAUGUCGGCUCGCUUAUGAGUCGGUGUUG
rnacentral:rRNA from 1 species